UACGUAGGGCGCAAGCGUUGUCCGGAAUUAUUGGGCGUAAAGGGCUCGUAGGCGGUUUGUCGCGUCGGGAGUGAAAACUCAGGGCUUAACCCUGAGCCUGCUUCCGAUACGGGCAGACUAGAGGUAUGCAGGGGAGAACGGAAUUCCUGGUGUAGCGGUGAAAUGCGCAGAUAUCAGGAAGAACACCCGUGGCGAAGGCGGCUCUCUGGGACGGUACUGACGCUGAGACGCGAAAGCGUGGGGAGCGAACAGG
rnacentral:rRNA from 1 species